ensembl:lncRNA
AUGAUACCUUUUGCAAGAGAAAUUUAUAUCCUACUUUGGGAUAUAUCCUACUUCUAUUUUAUAAACAAAAUAGAAAAAAUCCAGGCAGCCAUGGAGGUGGAGACUUCCCAUGAUUCUGGAAUGUUCCCUUGUCUGGGGCAGACCUCAGCAUUAGGACACCACCCAAAUGAGGUGUCAAGGUGCUAUCAUCACGGGCGACUGACCCUGCCCCAGGACCAAGGCUGUUGCUCCUCACUGGGUUUGGAACAGAGGCUCUCCACCCUGGAGCGCUCUGGCCGGGAGCUGCACAGGCUUGGCCCAGGGACACGGCGGUGUCUGCCCAGCCUGGACCACAGUGCUCAGUAUGGUAAGCUCAUCUCAGAGACGGGACAACUGGGUCCAGCUUACGUUCCUUCAAAGCUGUUGCCGGAUGAGCUGUUUCUCUCACGAAGCUCUUAAAAAAUAAUAUUAAUUGAAAAAAAAAAAAAAAGCUUCAUUUCCAAUGGAAAACAGACCCUACACAGACUGGGUUAUUUUCCUCAGUCCUGGAUGCACUUAGUGCUGCCAUUUGGUCAGUAGGGAUCACGUUGGCCGUUUUUCCAGGUUGGCCUCUUGGCUGAAACUGCUUUAAUGCCACUCCAUGGUGUUACUCAGGUAUGGAGCCCGGUGCUGGCAAGAGGCCAGCCCAGAUCUGGAUUUGCUAGCACCUCGAGGACAAAAAGCCAGUCUGCUCAACUAGUUCACUUGGCAUGCCCAGCAGGUUAGGCACAGAAAAAGCCUUUUGAUGGAUGAUGGAAAUUUUAGAGUUUCAGGACCAGUUAUCAGCCCAGUAUUUAUCUGAUCCCAGGAGCCUAUUUUUUACAUAUUUUAUUUUUUUCCUAUGCUGGGUCUUCAUUCACAGGCUACACUCCGGCUGCAGUGCACAGGCUUCUCACUGUGGUGGCUUCUCUUCCUGCCAAGCCCAGGCUCUACGGCACAUGGGCUCAACUUAGUUGUUCCGUGACACGUGGGAUCUUCCCAGACCAGGGAUCGAAGCUGUGUCUUCUACACUGGCAGGCAGAUUCUUUACCACUGAGCCACCAGGGAAGCUCCAAGUCAUCUAUGUUUAAAAGAAUACUUCGUGACAUCUAUUUGGUACACCUCGCCACACAUCUGAAGAGGAUAGGGGACUGAGAGCCUCCUGAAGGAAGAUGACAAGCCUGUCUUGUGCACCACACAGGGCAUUCCAGGCCUCUGCAGAGGACCGGCUACACAGGUGGUGCUCAGGAGGUAUUUAGCUGCUGAAUGAAUGAAUGAAUAUCAGUAAACCAGCAUCUCCAUAGACUGGUGGUAGCUCUCAAAUUCUAGUGUUCACAAAAAUCACCUGGACUAGUUAAAACACAGAUUUCUCAGCCGUUACCCACCACCACUCAUCCCAAGUUAUUAAAUCCAUAUAUUUAUGGGUAUGGGGAGAAACCCAGGAAUUUGCACUUUUUUACAAAUCUUCCCAAUUAUUCUUUAAAUAAUCAAUUAAUUAAUUUGGCUGUAUCAGGUCUUAACUGUGGCAAGUGGAAUCUUUCAUGGUGGCUCAAGGAUUUCUCUAGUUUGUGGCAUGCUGGCUCUGGAGCAAGCCCAGGUCCUGUUGCUCCACAGCAUGUGGGAUCUUAGUUUCCUGACUAGGGACUGAACCCAUGUUCCCUACAUUGCAAGGCAGAUUGUCAACCACUGGACUCUCAGGGAAGUCCCCCUCAAAUUAUUCUGUUGCCCACGGUUGGUAGUUUACACUUGGAGAAACAACACGUCUUACUUUAGCAAGUUUCCCCAGGGUCUCUAGGAACUAAAUUCCGCCCAGGGAACAUCCUCCCUAGGGCGUGAUCCGUGCAGAGUGGGUUUGCUCCGCUAAUCUGAAUUCAAAGGGAGGCUGAGGAAGAAACUUCGGCAGAUGCAAGGUAACCUUUCACGGAAAGUAUGACACACGUAAAAUGCUACUAAGAUCACAAAACCUUUUGAAGAAAAAAGCUUUCCCAAUAAUCCACCCACUUUUCUUAAUUAUAGUUUUUCCUCCACGAGUCUUAGAACUGCCCUGGAAAAUAACAUCGACUCAUUCCUCAGAGAAACACUCAAUUUCAACACUUUCUUUGUGCUGGGCAAUGACCAGCCCUACCGCUUUCAAACAUUCCGUAUGUGGAACAUUCCCUCUCUGGACUCUAGAAGGUGACAGGAGGUGUGCCCCUCACCCACGUCGGCAGGAGGCCUGCAGGUGGGGUACAUGGGAGCCAGAGGCAGACUGCGUCUCAUGACAGCAUCUUUGGGACCCGAAGCCGAUUCAAACUUCUCUUUGCUCUCAAGAAUAUUAAGAAUGUCUAAUCCCAGAGGGAGUAUUAUUGUCCAUAAUAAAGACUUGAGCUUUCAUUCAUCAAAUUGAUAACACUCUCUUUGACACUCAGAUCCAGCAGUGGGGAUGAUGGCUGGGUUUUGAGCCAACUUCUAGAGCAAACUAAGGUAACUCAGACUCCAAAAAGUAUUACACAACCAAAUGCCCAAGCCUGGAAACAUUCCGAAGCCUUUUUUUAGUUACCCAGAAAUGACAAAGGAAAUUAUUUCCUCCAGGAAGGUUUGCAGAUUGGUGUGGCUGAGGGAUCCAAGAAUGCAUUUUUCUGAUGUCUUUCUCCCUAUUCCUACUCCUGUCAGCAGCCAAGUGACAACAGAAUUAUUGCUAGUCAUCUAUUUUUUUAAUCAUGUGAUUUUCUUACAAAAGACAAUUGUUUCAAAAAAGAAAAGGCCACAUGAUGGUUACACGAGAUUCCAUACAGCUGUUAAAUGCCUCCAGCCAGUCCAAUCCACGGGUUUGAAAAUUAUUCACGCUUUUAAUGGAAUUUCAAUUAAGACAGAAAAAAAGAAAUCAAAAGGGACCUGAAACUUUAAAGAUCAUACUAAUUUAAAAUACAGCCCACAGGGCUCUAAGAACUGCUGAGAUCUCAUAAGAUACAUUCCUAAGAAUAAAUGAAAUUUUCUCUUCAGGGAGUGUUCCCUCACAACUUCACAAGUACUUCUAAACAGAAGUGUCUGACUUCAGGAAACGUCUCCUUUUUACCAAGCCAUUGUUUCGGUAGGUGUGGUGAAGUGAGGUAGGAAAAGAACUGUUAUCUUGUAAAGGAGAAUAAUUACCUUCUUUUCAAAAUAAUAUUGUAUCUCAAAAAAAAUUGGAAUCUUUCAAAUUAAUUUCAAAAAUAUUAUUUAAAAAGUCAGAAUAAAAACAAAAGCACACACCUAUUUUAUCUAAUUCUAUUCUGUAGGGGAGAAGUGGAGAUAACCCAGUGAUAUGACAGGAAAGUAAAGAUUACAGAUGACAGUGUCCUUCUUGGGUGAGGUUCUGACAAAACAAAUCAGCAACUACCUCGGGGCAACCGUGUCUUUUUUUUUUUUUUUAAUGGAGAAGCUAGGACUGUCCCAGGAUUGGCACAACCUAGUUGUUUCUAUAGACGUGCAACCCCAGUGUGACUGGUACAUAGGGCGGGAGAGGUGAGAAUGCCAAAGACGGUAGGAAAAGGCUGUGUACAUUUUAGGUUAACUUAACACUGCUCAGACACCAGUAACAUUCCUUUAGAAGCAAAACCCUCCAGUUAGAGCCAGUUCUUCCAGGAGGGUUCUUGGUACAUCCACCGUGAAGCGAGGACUCUAGGUAAGCAGAGAAACUGACAUUUCAGCCUCCAUAUUGGAAAUUUUCAAGGUAGGAAGUGAGCAAAAGGGGCCUGAGCCUGGCCCAGCAGCCCUGAGAAGAGCUAUGAGAAAGGACUGAGCAGCCNNNNNNNNNNNNNNNNNNNNNNNNNNNNNNNNNNNNNNNNNNNNNNNNNNNNNNNNNNNNNNNNNNNNNNNNNNNNNNNNNNNNNNNNNNNNNNNNNNNAGCCUGGCCCAGCAGCCCUGAGAAGAGCUAUGAGAAAGGACUGAGCAGCCCGUGGGGAUGACCGGCUGGAAAGAAAGCCAGACGUCCCUUUAAGGCAUUUCAUCCUUGGUCCCAUCCCCUCUCUUGCCUUUGAACUUCCCUUGGUUGAAGAAAGUGAAUAGCAGCUCCAGACUUGUCCAAAUACCUUGGGCUCCUUGGUCUGCUUUUAAUUUGUUGGAAUGUUGGCAGACGCAGACUGGCACACCCUAGAGGAAUGCCUUUGGCUGUGUCCAGUGGCAAGCACAGUUGCUUUAGGCUCACUGAGAGCUUAGGGAUGACCCGUGCCAGCCAAGCCUGGUUCUGAACGUCUCCGUGGGGUGGCGAGAGGGCUGCCUCGGAAGGACCACUGAGGAGGACUAUGAUGAACCCAGAGCUAAACACACCACCCACAUACCUGCACUUGGGAAAGGUGUCCUGAGAGGCAUCCAGCCCACCUGUGCAAGGAAUAUGACUCCCAUACGAGGGGCCUAAAGGGUAGGAGAAG